UCGCUGGCGGCAGGCCUAACACAUGCAAGUCGAACGGCAGCGCGGGGAGCUUGCUCCCUGGCGGCGAGUGGCGGACGGGUGAGUAAUGCGUAGGAAUCUACCUUGUAGUGGGGGAUAACCUGGGGAAACUCGGGCUAAUACCGCAUAAUCUCUUUGGAGCAAAGCGGGGGAUCUUCGGACCUCGUGCUAUAAGAUGAGCCUACGUCGGAUUAGCUUGUUGGUGGGGUAAUGGCCUACCAAGGCGACGAUCCGUAGCUGGUCUGAGAGGACGAUCAGCCACACUGGGACUGAGACACGGCCCAGACUCCUACGGGAGGCAGCAGUGGGGAAUAUUGGACAAUGGGGGAAACCCUGAUCCAGCAAUGCCGCGUGUGUGAAGAAGGCCUUCGGGUUGUAAAGCACUUUCGGUGGGGAAGAAAUUCUCAAGGGUAAUAUCCUUGGGCGUUGACGUUACCCACAGAAGAAGCACUGGCUAACUCUGUGCCAGCAGCCGCGGUAAUACAGAGAGUGCAAGCGUUAAUCGGAAUCACUGGGCGUAAAGCGCGCGUAGGUGGAUAUUUAAGUCGGAUGUGAAAGCCCUGGGCUUAACCUGGGAAUUGCAUCCGAUACUGGGUAUCUUGAGUAUGGUAGAGGGAAGUGGAAUUUCCGGUGUAGCGGUGAAAUGCGUAGAUAUCGGAAAGAACACCAGUGGCGAAGGCGACUUCCUGGACCAAUACUGACACUGAGGCGCGAAAGCGUGGGGAGCAAACAGGAUUAGAGACCCUGGUAGUCCACGCCGUCAACGAUGAGAACUAGCUGUUGGGAAGUUCACUUCUUAGUAGCGAAGCUAACGCGUUAAGUUCUCCGCCUGGGGAGUACGGCCGCAAGGUUAAAACUCAAAGAAAUUGACGGGGGCCCGCACAAGCGGUGGAGCAUGUGGUUUAAUUCGAUGCAACGCGAAAAACCUUACCUACCCUUGACAUCCUCGGAACUUGUCAGAGAUGAUUUGGUGCCUUCGGGAACCGAGUGACAGGUGCUGCAUGGCUGUCGUCAGCUCGUGUCGUGAGAUGUUGGGUUAAGUCCCGUAACGAGCGCAACCCUCGUCCUUAGUUGCCAGCGAGUCAAGUCGGGAACUCUAAGGAGACUGCCGGUGAUAAACCGGAGGAAGGUGGGGAUGAUGUCAAGUCAUCAUGGCCCUUACGGGUAGGGCUACACACGUGCUACAAUGGGCAGUACAAAGGGUUGCCAAGCCGCGAGGUGGAGCUAAUCCCAGAAAACUGCUCGUAGUCCGGAUUGGAGUCUGCAACUCGACUCCAUGAAGUUGGAAUCGCUAGUAAUCGCGAAUCA
rnacentral:rRNA from 1 species